rnacentral:rRNA from 1 species
AAUCAACGCUGGCGGCGUGCCUCAGACAUGCAAGUCGAACGCGAAAUCUCCCUUCGGGGAGAAAGUAGAGUGGCGCACGGGUGAGUAACACGUAGGUAAUUUGCCUUUGGGUGGGGAAUAACUCAGGGAAACUUGAGCUAAUACCGCAUAAUGCAGCGGCUCGACAUCGAGACAGUUGUUAAAGCGGGGGAUUCGCAAGAACCUCGCGCCUGAAGAGAAGCCUGCGGCAGAUUAGCUAGUUGGUAAGGUAAUGGCUUACCAAGGCGACGAUCUGUAACCGGCCUGAGAGGGCGGUCGGUCACACUGACACUGACAUACGGGUCAGACCU